GAUAUAAUAUGUUCUUACUAGUAAUUGUUCCAGCGUUGGCGAGAUUAAUCAACAUUAAAUUAUUAUCCGAGGUAUAUAUAUACAUAUAUAGUAUCAGUUCAAAUUCCUAGUUAGAGCAGUUAAACCUCUUUUUAUCUGAGCGAAAAUCGUAAAAGAAUCAAUCAGUCAUAUGAAUGGAUGAGAACCGCAAUACGCAUAGAUAUAUAAUCUAUCUGAUAUAAUGAAGAUUACUUGGUGACAUCAUGUAUAAACACCACUCAAUAAUGAGAUAUUACUGUUUUAUCACGAGGCACAAUUCCAUAAUUAUGGUUUACAUGAUGAUUUUAUAUUUACAUAUAUGUGUGUGGGUGUGCAUAUAUAUAUAUAUAUAUAUAAGGAUUGCCUCAAGAAAAACCCAACUUGUCAGUUCAUGUUCUUCUGUUUAUUCUGCAAAUUAUUA
rnacentral:lncRNA from 1 species